UUUCCGUAGGUGAACCUGCGGAAGGAUCAUUCAUAAUACGUGUUUUAUGGCACUUUUUUAAAUCCAUAUCCACCUUGUGUGCAAUGUAAGGGUUGAUUUUUCUCUCGAGAGGAUCAACCACAAACAACAACUAUAUCUCAACUCUUUGUCUGAAAAAUAUUAUGAAUAAAACAACUCAAAAUACAACUUUCAACAACGGAUCUCUUGGCUCUC
rnacentral:misc_RNA from 1 species